GGACUGGAGAGAGGCAGUGCGCGGACGGCCUUGCGGACGGAAGACGUGGCCUCACGGAUGGGAGGCACGGCCACACGGGUGAAGCUGUGUUCUCACACCUCACUGGGGCAAUUAGGACCUUUGUCAGGGAGUUUUUUUUUGUUAGCCUAAGUCACGGUUGUGGGCUCUAUCUUUUUUCUUUUGGCGCUGAAAGCCUGCUUUUGGGUUUUGGUUUAGCGCCGGAUGUUUGGGCUGGCGGGAAUGGCAGCAAGUUUUGGCGCGUUGGAUUUUCUCCUUUAAUAUUCUUGUGUGUU
rnacentral:lncRNA from 1 species